UCUACGAAGAACAGCAAUGUUCCUUCCGCAGAGUACACUUGCCGAAGCCUUAGUGGCCCGAAAGGGUUUCACCAGCGACUCUAAACAAGUAGGUGGAUUAAAUGCUAGUCUCUUUGGAAGAGGCGACACUAUCAAAUUGCGGGAAGAUCCUGUCAGGUCCACAUCACCGCGGCUCACCGAAAGGUGUAGUGCAGCACCAGGCUAACAACCUUGGGUAUGGUAAUAGUAUGUGGAAUAGGGAGAAUCUGCAGCCAAGCCCCUCUCUUGGGGUGCAGUUCACAGGCCAAAUGGUAGUGGGCACUCUGGUGCUUAAGAUAUGGUCGAGUCCCAAUUGAAAAGUUGGGUACAAGUACUCUGAUUGAUUACAUACAAUCUAUGCUGGUUGUAAAUGCAAAUGUUCCGUAGGUGAACCUGC
rnacentral:rRNA from 1 species